UGGGGAAUAUUGCACAAUGGGCGAAAGCCUGAUGCAGCAACGCCGCGUGAGUGAUGAAGGUCUUCGGAUUGUAAAGCUCUGUCUUUGGGGACGAUAAUGACGGUACCCAAGGAGGAAGCCACGGCUAACUACGUGCCAGCAGCCGCGGUAAUACGUAGGUGGCGAGCGUUGUCCGGAAUUACUGGGCGUAAAGGAUGCGUAGGCGGAUACUUAAGUCAGAUGUGAAACUCCCGGGCUCAACUUGGGAACUGCAUUUGAAACUGGGUAUCUAGAGUGCGGGAGAGGAAAGUGGAAUUCCUAGUGUAGCGGUGAAAUGCGUAGAGAUUAGGAAGAACACCAGUGGCGAAGGCGACUUUCUGGACCGUAACUGACGCUGAGGCAUGAAAGCGUGGGUAGCAAA
rnacentral:rRNA from 1 species